rnacentral:rRNA from 1 species
UCGAGCGGAUGAAGGGAGCUUGCUCCUGGAUUCAGCGGCGGACGGGUGAGUAAUGCCUAGGAAUCUGCCUGGUAGUGGGGGAUAACGUCCGGAAACGGGCGCUAAUACCGCAUACGUCCUGAGGGAGAAAGUGGGGGAUCUUCGGACCUCACGCUAUCAGAUGAGCCUAGGUCGGAUUAGCUA